rnacentral:rRNA from 1 species
CCUACGGGGGGCUGCAGUGAGGAAUAUUGGUCAAUGGCCGUAAGGCUGAACCAGCCAAGUCGCGUGAAGGACGAAGGAGCUAUGGUUUGUAAACUUCUUUUAUAGGGGGAUAAAAUUAUCCACGUGUGGCUAUUUGCGUGUACCCUAUGAAUAAGCAUCGGCUAACUCCGUGCCAGCAGCCGCGGUAAUACGGAGGAUGCGAGCGUUAUCCGGAUUUAUUGGGUUUAAAGGGUGCGUAGGUUGUUUUUUAAGUCAGCGGUGAAAGUUUGUGGCUCAACCAUAAAAUUGCCGUUGAAACUGGAAGACUUGAGUGUGUUUGAGGUAGGCGGAAUGCGUGGUGUAGCGGUGAAAUGCAUAGAUAUCACGCAGAACUCCGAUUGCGAAGGCAGCUUACUGAGCCAUAACUGACACUGAAGCACGAAAGCGUGGGGAUCGAACAGGAUUAGAUACCCUAGUAGUC